rnacentral:tRNA from 2 species
GCGCCCGUAGCUCAGUUGGAUAGAGCAACGGACUUCUAAUCCGUAGGUCAGAGGUUCGAAUCCUCUCGGGCGCGCCA